UUCGCCUAUAAAUUGCUGCAACGGUUUCUCUUUCUUUCUCAUUGAUCCUUGUUGUUGGAAUAGAAGAAAACUCGCGCACGAGAGAUACCAACCUUGAAUCUUCGUAACUUUGUAAAAGCGUUCGCGUUCGCCACCUUGAGGGAUAAAUACCAAACCAGAGAGCCAGCACAAGUCACCUCACAACACUCCAGCGAAUCUACAAGACCACAGCUCGAUCUUGGACCAGUUUUUAACCCUAAAAAAACAUGAAUUCAAAGGCAUUGAUUAUUUUGGUUGUUGUCCUGAUGGCAGUAGCGAUGGUACCUCAGACAAACGCCUUUACAGCCGGAGGAGGCGGGAACGUCCCCUCGGGAAAGCGAGAAUAUAUGACGCUAAAAAGAGCAGUGAGUAGCCUGUGUGCAGUCGCUCGUGAACACUGUAAACGAGAAGCUUUCGAUAGCAAAGACCUGGAAUAAAUAAUGAAGAAAUAUCAAGAAAAUAAUGAAGAAACAAAUCCAAGAAUCGCAGAGUGUUUCCGUGCCAUGCAAUGUUUAUGAUAACAAACUACUACAAGCUUUCGUCCCUCGAUCCCCAAUUGAACUAAAACCCCAGAAAUACAAUUAGUUAAUUCUAUGAAGUUUAUUGCGCUUCUACGUUGUACGUAAAUUGGUAAUAAAUUGAUUUAUAAACGACCAAA